AAGGAUUAAGUUUAAAGAAAAUACUGGCUUGUCAAGCCGGAGAAGGGUAACCCAUUCCUUG
rnacentral:tRNA from 1 species